rnacentral:rRNA from 1 species
GACGAACGCUGGCGGCGUGCCUAAUACAUGCAAGUUGAGCGCUGAAGGUUGGUACUUGUACCAACUGGAUGAGCAGCGAACGGGUGAGUAACGCGUGGGGAAUCUGCCUUUGAGCGGGGGACAACAUUUGGAAACGAAUGCUAAUACCGCAUAAAAACUUUAAACACAAGUUUUAAGUUUGAAAGAUGCAAUUGCAUCACUCAAAGAUGAUCCCGCGUUGUAUUAGCUAGUUGGUGAGGUAAAGGCUCACCAAGGCGAUGAUACAUAGCCGACCUGAGAGGGUGAUCGGCCACAUUGGGACUGAGACACGGCCCAAACUCCUACGGGAGGCAGCAGUAGGGAAUCUUCGGCAAUGGACGAAAGUCUGACCGAGCAACGCCGCGUGAGUGAAGAAGGUUUUCGGAUCGUAAAAACUUCUGUUGGUAGAGAAAGA